ACUAUAAAAUCGUAAGUUAUCUGAAAGAAGAGUACGUAUAAGCACAACCAAAAUGGUCAAUAAAAAGUAUUGAAGCAUACUCCAUGGUUCAUUCAAGCUUCAUUUUAACCUGAUGUAAUAUAUGUCAACAAGCAUAGUUCAUAUACGAUUCCCACUCUUUAGAUCUUAUCAAAUCUGACUUGAAUAUAGAGUUUGCAAUAGGCUCGUCGAAAUCCCGACACAAUAACAACAUAUAUUUCGUUGUUCUUGAUGACAGGCGGAGAUUCAAGUUCACUCAACACAUGUGGAUUAUGGCACCAUGGACUUUCAAGCACUCUUAGAAGGACCCCAUGAUUUGGACGGAUGGCUGGAAGGUGCAUUCAUUCCUACUUAUACAAAGGAGGCGAGUUUAACUCAUGAGGCAAGAUUUUCACACAUGCAGAAGUACAAACUUGCAAAACAAAUGAACGUGGCAAAUGGCGUUGAAAAUCCGUUUCACCAUUGCAGAAUGAAUGUAAAUUUUAUUCACCAACUAGUGAUCAUGGCAUGAAAAUACAAACAUCUAUGCCUGAGAAAGUGGAGGCCCCUGCCAACACGACUCUCAACGGCGGAGGAGGAGAAGAGGAGGAGAUGAGAGAGGGAGGAGGGGCCGUGUACCCGCCGCCUUGUCACUGGAGAAGUAGAAGGCUUGCGGCCACCACCACACCAUCGGAGGAGGGGAAGUGCGAUCUACUAGGUAUGAAUUAUGAAGGCUCCAUUUGUUGCAAUGUACCAUUUGUCAUUGUCUCAAGUAGUUAAACACAUAUGCUAUGUGCUUCGGAUUACAUACCAAAAAGUGGUUGGAUGCAUGGAGGUCGUGUGAGAAGUGCACGUGAGAGAGGAUCAUGGUCGAUAAACAUAGAACCAUGCUCCCGGGACCUGCGUUCUGCAAGUGAAGGCCAAAAACAUGGGAGCAGAAGAAACAAUGACCAUUGGACAUCUGAAGAGGUGAAAGAACUAGUGGAUGGCGUAUCUGUACAUGGGGUUGGACCAUCGACUAAGUUGAAGAAUGAAAGGUUUCCAAUAUCAGUUCGGACAGCAGUGCAUCUAAAGGAUAAGUGGAGAAACCUAGUGAAAGCCGUCACGGGAAAUGUGAAAAGAAGGAUCUCGCCUCGUCUAGAUAAGGAUUGCAUCAAAAAGAUCAAGAGGCUAGCAGCUGAUUACCCUCGAAAAUGAAGUUGCACUCGUGAAUGCUACACGGAACAUCAAACAGUACUUUUGGUGUAGUAGUGACCCCGCAACAAGAGUUCUGUUAUUUUUCUAGUAGAACUGUGAAGCAUAGGCUGUCAUAUUAAGUGUGUCGUGAGUAGAGAGUAGAUUGAAGUGGAGCAGCUUCUACUGCCUAACUUCCCCAUGAAUGGGAAUAGCGCUCGCUCCUCCGACCUGUUUGCUUGCCGGUUUUGCUACAGUGUUGUAAUUAGCUUGACCUUUCAUUUAACACCAUGGCACAUUUUGCUGGAAGCUUAUGGUCUUAUGAUAUGAAUGGUGAAUGGAUA